rnacentral:rRNA from 1 species
GAUGAACGCUGGCGGCGUGCCUAAUACAUGCAAGUCGAGCGAACAGACGAGGAGCUUGCUCCUCUGACGUUAGCGGCGGACGGGUGAGUAACACGUGGAUAACCUACCUAUAAGACUGGGAUAACUUCGGGAAACCGGAGCUAAUACCGGAUAAUAUAUUGAACCGCAUGGUUCAAUAGUGAAAGACGGUUUUGCUGUCACUUAUAGAUGGAUCCGCGCCGCAUUAGCUAGUUGGUAAGGUAACGGCUUACCAAGGCAACGAUGCGUAGCCGACCUGAGAGGGUGAUCGGCCACACUGGAACUGAGACACGGUCCAGACUCCUACGGGAGGCAGCAGUAGGGAAUCUGCCGCAAUGGGCGAAAGCGUGACGGAGCAACGCCGCGUGAGUGAUGAAGGUCUUCGGAGCGUAAAACUCUGUUAUUAGGAAAGAACAAAUGUGUAAGUAACGAUGCACGUCUGGACGGUACCUAAUCAGAAAGCCACGGCUAACUACGU